rnacentral:rRNA from 1 species
CCUACGGGGUGCACCAGUGGGGAAUAUUGCACAAUGGGCGCAAGCCUGAUGCAGCCAUGCCGCGUGUAUGAAGAAGGCCUUAGGGUUGUAAAGUACUUUCAGUUGGGAGGAAGGCGUUGAUGCUAAUAUCAUCAACGAUUGACGUUACCAACAGAAGAAGCACCGGCUAACUCCGUGCCAGCAGCCGCGGUAAUACGGAGGGUGCAAGCGUUAAUCGGAAUUACUGGGCGUAAAGCGCACGCAGGCGGUUGAUUAAGUUAGAUGUGAAAUCCCCGGGCUUAACCUGGGAAUGGCAUCUAAGACUGGUCAGCUAGAGUCUUGUAGAGGGGGGUAGAAUUC